UCAGGAGUGGGGGAGGAUCGAUAUAUUCGACGGCACCGACGCUAUGCUGUUAAGACAGUAUCGAACAACGACGUAGACGUUCUACAUACGUAUAAUAUUUCCAAAUAAAUUCGAAAGACAAUAAAUACAUCGACAAGAUGCCAGGACCGUGCUGCGAGAAAUGCAAAGAAAAAUGCCAGGACUGCAAAUGCGAUAAUUGUAAAUGCAGUGAUACAAGUUCCGGAGAGAAAUGUUGUUGCUGUUGCAAGACAACCGGCAAUUGCGUUUGCACGACCUGUAAAUGUUAAUUACGAUCUAACGUAAUGCCUAGUAGCUGCAGGACGGGUGUGAAGGAUGAAAAUUGGGAGGCGCAAUAAUAAUGAUUUUUAUUGAUAUAUAUUCAACUGCAGCUUACAGAUAUAUAUAUACAUAUAUGCACGUAUAUAUAUAUAUAUAUAUAAAUUAGAUAUAGUCAUUCAGUUACAAUGAUUAUAUUAUUGUUACCUUUCGAUUGGCUGAAACAUUAUAUUGUAUUUAAAUAUUUUAAUAUUUCUUGAGCAUUUAAAUAAACUUAUACGAAUGUUCCUCUAA